rnacentral:RNase_P_RNA from 1 species
GAAGUCGGCUAGGCGAUCGCUGUAUGAACUCAUGAAAAUGAGGCUUGUGCAGAGGAAAGUCCGGGCUCCAUAGAGCAGGAUGCCGGCUAACGGCCGGACGCCGUGAGGCGAUGGAAAGUCCCGCGCAAGCGGGAUUCCGUCAUGCAGUGGCCUGUGUGAUCGCGCAAGCGCUUGCCAAAGCUGCAUGAUGGGAUGCAACAGAAAAAUUCCGCCGAAGGGUACAGGUCCCCUGGCAAGGGUGAAAUGGUGCGGUAAGAGCGCACCGCGCACGUGGCAACACGGAGCGGCAUGGCAAACCCCAUCCGGAGCAACACCAAAUAGGCAAGUGCGUCGCGGCUUCUAGCUGCGGCGUAGGGCGGCUCGUCCGAACUUGCGGGUAGGUGGCUUGAGCCAGCGGGUAACCGUUGACCUAGAGGAAUGAUCGUCCCCGACAGAACCCGGCUUAUCGGCCGACUUCACCC